rnacentral:lncRNA from 1 species
AACUCGCGGGGAUUGUUUUCCACACCGUGGAAGCUUUGUUCUUUUCGUUUUUUGCAAUAAAUCUUGUUGCUGCUCGCUUUUUGGGUCCACAUUGCUUUUAUGAGCUGUACCACUCACCGUGAAGAUCUGCAGCUUCACUUCAGAGCCUAGCGAGACCACAAGCUCACUGAGAGGAACAAACAACUCCAGACGCGCUGUCUUAAGAGCUAUAACACUCACCGCGAAGGUGUGCAGUUUCACUCCUGAGCUAGUGAGACUACGAAGCCACUGGAACGAAGAAACUCCAACCACGUUUGAACAUCAGAAGGGGCAGACUCCAGACGCUUCAUCUUAAGAGCUGUAACACUCACUGUGAAGGUCUGCAGCUUCACUCCUGAGCCAGCGAGACCACGAACCGAUCUGAACAUCAGAAGGGACAGACUCCAGAUGCCCCACCUUAAGAGCUGUAAUACUCACUGCAAGGGUCUGCAGCUUCAUUCUUGAAGUCAGACCAAGAACCCAGCAAUUCCCAACACACAGGGACCAGCUUCUUUCCUAACUCACUUAGGCUCUUCGUGCUGCUCUGGCAACUAACACCCUUGGCUGCAGGGGCUUGGACACUACCCUUAGUCACUGACAAUUGUGUGAAGGCUGCUGUCGUUAACUUCACUUGAUCACCUUAGGCUCCUGUGAAGUGGUGAGCAAUUCAAACAAAUUCCUGUCGUCAAAUCAUGAUAUACAUCUUUCCACACCAAUAGACCUUGUUUUCCGAUGUAGCAUUAUUUUUCAUAGUUGGCGAAUAUACAGUUAUGGAUUCAUAACAGCAAGAUGGAGAAAUUGCACUGCAGAGAAAUCUUUAAAAGCAAUUACCUAAUACUGCAGAUUGCUGAACUGUACCCACACCCAAGACUGAGCAUUGGAUCAAUCCAGAAUAUACAUCAGGUGUUCUGCAAUGUCUGCCUAAAACCAUGACUCUGCCUCCUCCAGCUGUUGCUACAUCUCACUAUGGGUUUCCUGUGACAUUUUGAGCAAGUAUGCCUCUGUGACUGGGGUUCUUACACUCCAGAAUGGAUGAGAAGCACCGUAAGUGGCUUUUAAAAUGAAUAUUCCCUGGCCCUUCAGUCGCUCUAUAGGUCAAGAAUCUGAAUUCUCAACCUGUCUAGAAGGUUCUGGUUUUAAUGGUCUGUGGGCUGCACAUUGAGAAACCUGUUCAGCGAGUGCAACAAAGGUUCCACAUGUGAGAAAGGAAGCAUCAGGUCUCUUGAGCCUGUUCUUUAAUCUGUAGGCUGCACCUUCUCUUUAAAUUCUGCUAAUAACACCAUGCGAGAAAACACCCGAGCUUGAAAAGCCCAUGUUCCAACAUAACUGUCCUUCACCACUCUGGAAAAUUAAUGGUUUGUUUCGAUUAUCCCUUUGUUAAACUCCAAAGUCAAAGAGCUCUGAAAGGCAUACGGUUAUUUUAAGUUUCAGGUGAUUUCUGUUGCCAAAUAUUUUAAAAAUUUAAAAUUGCUACGUGACCUCUUAGUAGUACUAUUAGAUUUCCUGACAAUAAAAAUAAGUCUUUUGGUUUCACCAUUUAUAGUUAGUACAGCUAAUAUUAAGUAUAAUUUUAAAAGCCUUUUAUUUUCUCAGAAAGAAAAAAUAAUCAAAAUCUGCUCAGUGUGGUAUUGAAUAAUUAAAAACAAAAGAACAGUAUCUUCACAUUAGUGUUUAAUAUUAAUUGCUUUUUUACCCUUGACACUGGUGCUAAUUAAAUUUUCAUUUUAUUUUCCAUGACUUGUUUAAACAGUUUUUGCAAAUUAUUGCUAAUCAGCCUAAUAAAACUGAAUCACCUAUUAAACAAUUUUGUUUUGAAUUAAAUGGCAUUAAAAUAAUUCUGGCUGCCUUGUGUUAUAAUGUGUUACAAGAAUACCAACCGCUACAGGUAAUAUG